rnacentral:snoRNA from 1 species
AAGACUAUACUUUCAGGGAUCAUUUCUAUAGUAUGUUACUAGAGAAGUUUCUCUGAUCGUGUAGAGCACCCGAAACCACGAGGAGGAGCCAGAGCAUCUUCUCCUGAGCGUGAAGCCGGCUCUAGGUGUUGCUUCUGCAACUGCCUUUUGCCAUUGAUGAUCGUUCUUCCCUUCCUUGGAAGGGUGAGAGGGAGAGGAUGCAGUCUGAGUGG